UCCGUAGGUGAACCUGCGGAAGGAUCAUUAGUGAAUAACGUGUUGGUCUUCGCUUCGGCAAGGCCUUCACACCCUCACAUCCAUAACACCUGUGAACUGUAAGAUGUGGUGAACUCGUUUGCCCAUCUGCCCUUUUUAUAAACAUCUUUAGUAACAAAAGUAGUCUUAUUAUAAUCUAAUAAAACUUUCAACAACGGAUCUCUUGGCUCUCGCAUCGAUGAAGAACGCAGCGAAAUGCGAUAAGUAAUGUGAAUUGCAGAAUUCAGUGAAUCAUCGAAUCUUUGAACGCACCUUGCGCUCCAUGGUAUUCCGUGGAGCAUGCCUGUUUGAGUGUCAUGAAAACAAUCAACCUUGACUUUGGUUUUACUACCAUUGACUUGGCUUGGACUUGGGUGUUUGCCAUCUUCAUUGAUGGCUCACCUUAAAUUGAUUAGCUGGACUUGUCUUGAGGACUGGUUUGACUUGGCGUAAUAAGUAUUUCGCUGAGGACAUCUUAACCGAUGGCCAUCCACUUGACUACCGUCUGCUUUCUAACCCUGUUCUCUCUCUGAGAGACGUUUUUUAUACAUCUGGCCUCAAAUCAGGUAGGACUACCCGCUGAACUUAAGCAUAUCAAUAAGCGGAGGAAAAGAAACUAACAAGGAUUCCCCUAGUAACGGCGAGUGAAGCGGGAAGAGCUCAAAUUUGAAAUCUGGUGGACUCAGUCCAUCCGAGUUGUAAUCUAUAGAAACGUUUUCCGUGCUGGCCCAUGUACAAGUCCCUUGGAACAGGGCGUCAUAGAGGGUGAGAAUCCCGUCCUUGACAUGGACUACCAGUGCUCUGUGAUACGUUUUCAACGAGUCGAGUUGUUUGGGAAUGCAGCUCAAAAUGGGUGGUAAAUUCCAUCUAAAGCUAAAUAUUGGCGAGAGACCGAUAGCGAACAAGUACCGUGAGGGAAAGAUGAAAAGCACUUUGGAAAGAGAGUUAAACAGUAUGUGAAAUUGUUGAAAGGGAAACGAUUGAAGUCAGUCAUGUCCUUGGGAUUCAGCCUGUUCUGCAGGUCUACUUCCCUUGGAUGGGGUCAACAUCAGUUUUGACCGCUGGAUAAAGUCAGGAGGAAUGUAGCACUCUCGGGUGAACUUAUAGCCUUUUGUCGCAUACAGUGGUUGGGACUGAGGAACGCAGCUUGCCUUUAUGGCCGGGAUUCGUCCACGUACAAGCUUAGGAUGUUGACAUAAA
rnacentral:sRNA from 2 species